rnacentral:sRNA from 1 species
AACCACAAAUGCGCUUCACGCGGCGAUGAACCUGAGCCAGCCCGGCUUCGGUUCGCUUUGUCUGCCUUGGCUUGGAAAUGGGAAGACCCGUUCCGCACUGCCGGCAAUGAAGGUGUGCCUCUUCAGUAACCCCGGCUUUUGGACAGCCGGAAGAGAACCAGAAAGGCCCGCACCGUCGUUGCUUCAAGGUGUCCUCGAUUUUGCGGUUGGCCGCCAAAUCGACUGGAGGGGUUAGCUCCAGUUACCUUACCGAUUUCCUCGCCAUUCGAGGGAUCGGCGGACACCCACAGGCACGUGCGACUUUGGGCAAG